GAUGAACGCUGGCGGCGUGCCUAAUACAUGCAAGUCGAGCGAACAGAUGAGGAGCCUGCUCCUCUGACGUUAGCGGCGGACGGGUGAGUAACACGUGGAUAACCUACCUAUAAGACUGGGAUAACUUCGGGAAACCGGAGCUAAUACCGGAUAAUAUAUUGAACCGCAUGGUUCAAUAGUGGAAGACGGUUUUGCUGUCACUUAUAGAUGGAUCCGCGCCGCAUUAGCUAGUUGGUAAGGUAACGGCUUACCAAGGCAACGAUGCGUAGCCGACCUGAGAGGGUGAUCGGCCACACUGGAACUGAGACACGGUCCAGACUCCUACGGGAGGCAGCAGUAGGGAAUCUUCCGCAAUGGGCGAAAGCCUGACGGAGCAACGCCGCGUGAGUGAUGAAGGUCUUCGGAUCGUAAAACUCUGUUAUUAGGGAAGAACAAAUGUGUAAGUAACUAUGCACGUCUUGACGGUACCUAAUCAGAAAGCCACGGCUAACUACGUG
rnacentral:rRNA from 1 species